rnacentral:tRNA from 1 species
GGCCUAUUAGCUCAGUUGGUUAGAGCAUUGUGUUAAUAAUGUGAAGGUUACAGGUUCGAGACUUGUAUAGGCCA